CGAACGCUGGCGGCGUGCCUAAUACAUGCAAGUCGAACGGUCUUUUCUAUGGAAGCUUGCUUCCACUGAGAAGAUAGUGGCGAACGGGUGAGUAACACGUGGGUAACCUGCCCAUAAGAGGGGGAUAACAUCCGGAAACGGGUGCUAAUACCGCAUAGUUUUCUUGAUCGCAUGAUUGAGAAAGGAAAGACGGCCUUUGUGCUGUCGCUUAUGGAUGGACCCGCGGCGUAUUAGUUAGUUGGUGAGGUAACGGCUCACCAAGACGAUGAUACGUAGCCGACCUGAGAGGGUGAUCGGCCACAUUGGGACUGAGACACGGCCCAAACUCCUACGGGAGGCAGCAGUAGGGAAUCUUCCGCAAUGGACGAAAGUCUGACGGAGCAACGCCGCGUGAGUGAAAGAAGGUUUUCGGAUCGUAAAACUCUGUUGUCAGAGUAAGAACAAGUUGGAGAGUAACUGCUCCAGCCUUGACGGUAUCUGACCAGAAAGCCACGGCUAACUACGUGCCAGCCGCCGC
rnacentral:rRNA from 1 species